rnacentral:lncRNA from 12 species
AUGCUGCAGCCACCUGAAUUCCCCAUCUCCCAACACAAACCCGGCCCAAAGUCACAGGAGGACACAGAGUUUCUGUCUUUGAGAACGGUGUCGGUGCUGAAACGCCCCUGCCAGCUCAGGAGAGCAGCCAGCACCCAGCCAGAGCCUCUCCCUGCCCCGGGGAGGUUCCCAAUGAAGCCACUGAAUAACUGCAGGAAAAGACUCGUUCCCAUGUGCCCGUCCUCGCUCACCUGUGCCCGUCCACGCUCACCUGUGCCCGUCCUCGCUCACCUGUGCCUGUCCAUGCUCACCUGUGCCCAUCCACACUCCCAUGUGCCCGUCCACGCUCACCUGUGCCCAUCCACGCUCACCUCCAUCCCUUGGAGCAGACCUGACACUGGGACCUGUCCCUUCCCAAAGGACAUGAGGGAAAGGGUCAGGACACUGCUCAGGCCACCCCACUGCCACCCCCACUGCCAUCCCAACGCCAUCUCACUGCCACCCCACUGCCACCCUCACUGCCACCCCAAUGCCAUCUCACUGCCACCCCACUGCCACCCCCACUGCCAUCCCAACGCCAUCUCACUGCCACCCCACUGCCACCCUCACUGCCACCCCAAUGCCAUCUCACUGCCACCCCACUGCCACCCCCACUGCCAUCCCAACGCCAUCUCACUGCCACCCCACUGCCACCCUCACUGCCACCCCAAUGCCAUCUCACUGCCACCCCACUGCCACCCCCACUGCCAUCCCAACGCCAUCUCACUGCCACCCCACUGCCACCCUCACUGCCACCCCAAUGCCAUCUCACUGCCACCCCACUGCCACCCCCACUGCCAUCCCAACGCCAUCUCACUGCCACCCCACUGCCACCCUCACUGCCACCCCAAUGCCAUCUCACUGCCACCCCACUGCCACCCCCACUGCCAUCCCAACGCCAUCUCACUGCCACCCCACUGCCACCCUCACUGCCACCCCAAUGCCAUCUCACUGCCACCCCACUGCUACCCCAAUGUCACCUCAGUGCCACCCCACUGCCACUCCCUGCUGAGCUCCCAUUUUCGUGCUGCCAUUUUCGUGCUCCCGCUUCCUGCUCACAUCAGGCAGAGAGUGGGAAGGGCUGAAAUCCUCCGACCCUCACUGCAAACCAGGAAGCGCCUGGGAUCUCCUGAGAAAGGCUGAGAUUUCCGCCUGGAACCCUCUGCAAGCAUCUGGCCAGAGGCAUUGCAUCCAGACCCCCAUCCUCUCAGAGCUCUGCUGCUGGAACAAACCUGGACAGGACCCCUCACAGCUCAUCCCGUGGGGAAAAUGCAGAAUCCAAACCCUGCGGCCACUCCCGUGAGUGACACCUCCUCUGUCCUGCCUGAUCCCAGUCCAGCACACCCCACAGCUCCUCUGGAGGAAUCCCCCAACAUUCCAUCACCCAGCAAAGCCUCCACACCACAAAUAACACCUUUACCAUAGAAAAAAGGGUGGGAAGCUGCUUUUAGGGAGCCCAGGGAUUGGCAGCACGGGGCAAACGUUGGUGCACAGAUCUGUGGCUGCACUGGCUCGUGGCUCUGGGAGAUGGAUCUGGGGGAUUUGGGGCAUCCACGGCUCCUUUCCCAGGGAUUUGGGGCCUCCACAGCUCUUUUCUCAGGGAUUUGGGGCAUCCACAGUUUUUUCCCCAGCAAUUUGGGAUACCACAUCUCAUUUUCCAGGGAUUUGGGGUACCCACAGCUCUUUUCCCAGGGAUUUGGGGUACCCACAACUCCUUUCCCAAGGAUUUGGGGUACCCACAGCUCUUUUCCCAGCACACAUCAUUUCCCACAAAGUAUUUGGGGAGAGAGAGAGAGGUGCCCUUGCAGCAAAUGCACCAAGGGAAACCCAGAAGUGCUGCUGCUCCUCUGCCCUCGCAGCCCUGCCGGCCCUUCCAAAGGGAAAGGCAACCGGACCAGCACAAAAACAUUCCAGCAAACCACAGGCUCGGCUUUGCCACAUCCCAGCACUUGCUCUCCGAGGCAGCCACGGGGCCUGGCUGGACCCGGUGAGCCGGGACUUGUGAGGCUGAGCUCUGUCCCUCAGCUCUGGCAGUCUGUCCGGGCUGAGCCCCGCGGCCACAGGUGCACAUUCCACGGGCUCUUCCGGGCUGGAUCUGGGGGUCGCCAUCCCCCAAUGCCAUAGCACCACCGGUCCCGGGGGUGACAGCCCUGCCAGCCCCUCCCUGGGGUCACAGCCCCCUCGAGAUGGGGUGGGGUCACAGCCCCUCCCUGGGGUCACGGCCCCCUCGAAAUGGUGUCCCCCACACCCCAGCGACCCCCGGCGGGAGCUGCAGAGCCCAGGCAGGCACUGGCACUCCCGGGAUGGGCGCUCUCCCUCCAGCCCACCUCGCUCCCAGCUGCGGGGAGCCCCCAGAGGACCCCCACCCCUCCAGGGAGCAGUCUGCCAGCCCCGGGGGCUGCGGGAACUGGGGAGGGGGCGAGCGGAGCCCCUCGGAGCGGGGGCUGCGGAGAGGGGAUGGGGACCCCAAAACCCGCGGGGGUGACAGACCGGCGGCUGGCCCCGGUGUCCCCUUGUCCCUGUGCCUACCUCGGGCCGGCGGCAGAGACCGAGGCGAUGCCGGAGCCCCCCCCCCCCCCCCCCCCCCCCCCCCCCCCCCCCCCCCCCCCCCCCCCCCCCCCCCCCCCCCCCCCCCC